UAGGCGCUUAUUGUUGGUCGGACGCCGAGGGUCCGGGUCGCAGCCCCCGGGCGGAGCGGCGCCGGGGGACCCAGGCGUGCGGGCGUCCGGCCGGCUGGCUCCGGGCGGCGGCGGUGGUGCAGCGGCCCCGAGUCCGGGGCAUGUCCGGCCACUGGCUCCGCCGCGCGCCGCCGCCUCCCCGGGCUCCCUUGCACUGCCGGAGCCUCGCUCGCCCCUCCACUCGGCUCCUCUCCCCAGCCUGAAUAAGCAUCGGGGCUCUCUGGCUGCCUCCUUCUGCCUUCAUACCAGAGCCCGGAGAGGCCCCUGUCAAAAUAAGAGCUCCCCCAUCUCGCUGGUCUCCUCGCCCAACCCGGCUCCCCCAGCCUCCCAGUGGUCUGACUCGUACACCAUGAGGACAUAGACUGAAUUUUCAUCUCAAGUCUCAGCAGGGGUGUAAAGUGGAUGUGUUCAUCAUGAACUUGCAAGAAAGAUAUUUUGACCCCAUUACACAGAUGAGGAAACUGAGACUUGCAUUAUAUAAGGAUUUACUCAGAAUUACACAACUAGACCAUGGUAAGCCCAGGACUAGAAGUUGGAUUUCUUUAUCCCUGGAUACCUUCCCCACCCACCCAGAAUUAAUACCAACAAUUGAUAAGCAUUGACUAUUUCAGAAGGAAAUGAAACUAACAACUCUAUUUGCUCCUUUCUGUUCCCAUUGUCCUCUCUCUCCAGAAAACUCUAGUGACCUCCCUCUCUUCUGACCACCUAUUAUUUGUGCACCACCCAUCUGAAUGCUUACUUGUAUUUUCCUUGUUUCUCCUGUGUGUAUGUCUGGUUGGUUCCAAAAGAUUCUUAAGGGCUCAGACUAUGCCUUCUAUCCUCUGUGUUCACCCAAGGUUGGCUCAAGUCCUGGGUAGGUUCAUAGUAGAACUUCAGUAAAUCUUGACUUGAUGGAUUGAUGGUGCCAGAAACUAGGUACUGAGCAAGGUCUGGGGAGGCUCAAAUGUGUGUGUAGUAGGGGGAUGAAGAUACCCUGACAAACAGAUGAUAACAUAACCUUUCCUGUGUGCCUAACACAAUCACAGUUUACAAAGCACUUUCAUGAACAUUAUCUCAGGAUCAUGCUUUAAUCCAAUCAACAGAACUUUCCCAAGUGCCUACUAAGAACUGUGCUAGGAUAGGGGUUGAAUCGUCAUAAUUCUGAGUUAAGUCUUAUCUUCAUUUAAAGGUGAUGAAACUGAAGCCCAGAGUGACUAUCCCAGCACCUAGGAUAGUACCUGGCUCUGGAAUUAGGGUUUAAUUUCUUUUCUUUUCUCCAGGAUCCCCAGGGGAUAGACUGGAUCUCAAAGCAGAGGGCCGGUCCUAAAACAUAAUAGUUUUUAGGAGGGUCCACUCCAUUUACUUGGGUCAGUAUCACGUAUAUGACAAGCCACAUGGGCCUUUUCAGAUCCUUUUGGCACAAGUUCAAUUCAUAGUAGGUCCAGAAAACAAUGUUUGUAGGGAUGAGGGUGGACUCGUUGCAAGGGGUCUCAAAUGUGGUACACAGUCAAGUUCAAGAGUGUUCGGUAUGUUCUGUGGAGCAGCCAUGUGGAGCUGAGCGCUCCCCAGGGUGGGGCUGUGACUCAUUCCCCCAGCGUAGGUUCCAGGUCGAGAUGCCGAGCAGAGCUCUGGGCAGCCACGAGUUCUGGGUGGAACCCUGGAGCGAAAAAGGAGGCGAGAGGCCCAUUGCUGGAAUCGAGCAGCUCCCUCUACUGGAGAACUCGGGGAACCACUGUGUUUCCGUAUAUCUGUGUGUCACUGUGUCACGAGGGAUGUCACAGGUGUGUCAGCGAGAGUCGGUGUGGGCAUUUGUGGGUGGACGUGCCGGCACGGGUAAGGGUGUGUGAGGUUGCCUGUUCGUGGCUCACUGUGGCUGUGCCAGCGCCAUUAGGGGCUUUUUCUGGAAACACAGUGUGUACCCACAACCA